UACUACUGCUCUAAUAACACUGACCACCCCAAGGUAAUAUACUACUGCUCUAAUAACACUGACCACCCCAAGGUAAUAUACUACUGCUCUAAUAACACUGACCACCCCAAGGUAAUAUACUACUGCUCUAAUAACACUGACCACCCCAUGGUAAUAUACUACUGCUCUAAUAACACUGACCACCCCAAGGUAAUAUACUACUGCUCUAAUAACACUGACCACCCCAUGGUAAUAUACUACUGCUCUAAUAACACUGACCACCCCAAGGUAAUAUACUACUGCUCUAAUAACACUGACCACCCCAAGGUAAUAUACUACUGCUCUAAUAACACUGACCACCCCAAGGUAAUAUACUACUGCUCUAAUAACACUGACCACCCCAAGGUAAUAUACUACUGCUCUAAUAACACUGACCACCCCAAGGUAAUAUACUACUGCUCUAAUAACACUGACCACCCCAUGGUAAUAUACUACUGCUCUAAUAACACUGACCACCCCAAGGUAAUAUACUACUGCUCUAAUAACACUGACCACCCCAAGGUAAUAUACUACUGCUCUAAUAACACUGACCACCCCAAGGUAAUAUACUACUGCUGUAAUAACACUGACCACCCCAAGGUAAUAUACUACUGCUCUAAUAACACUGAUCAACCCAAGGUAAUAUACUACUGCUCUAAUAACACUGACCACCCCAAGGUAAUACACUACUGCUCUAAUAACACUGACCACCCCAAGGUAAUACACUACUGCUCUAAUAACACUGACCACCCCAAGGUAAUAUACUACUGCUGUAAUAACACUGACCACCCCAAGGUAAUACACUACUGCUCUAAUAACACUGACCACCCCAAGGUAAUACACUACUGCUCUAAUAACACUGACCACCCCAAGGUAAUAUACGACUGCUCUAAUAACACUGACCACCCCAAGGUAAUACACUACUGCUCUAAUAACACUGACCACAGUGUAAGGAGUAGGACUGAUUCUCUGUGUUGUUCAUACUUUAGGUUCUCAACACUCAACUGAUAAACCAACACUGACCACAGAGUGAGAUAUGAUACCUACUCUGACAAUAAGGCUCACAUUUUCAGUUCAUUCAACCUUUAUUUAUACAGGUUAUUGUCAUUAAUGGCAGCAGUCAACAAAGUUGAAUUUAAACUGAAACAUUUCUGUACAUGAUUUAGGAUUGUGAUGUUAUAACCAUGAUAUCUGACUGUUGUUAACCCUGUAGGUACUGGUAUUAACCAUGAUAUCUGACUGUUGUUAACCCUGUAGGUACUGGUAUUAACCAUGAUAUCUGACUGUUGUUAACCCUGUAGGUACUGGUAUUAACCAUGAUAUCUGACUGUUGUUAACCCUGUAAGUACUGGUAUUAACCAUGAUAUCUGACUGUUGUUAACCCUGUAGAUACUGGUAUUAACCAUGAUAUCUGACUGUUGUUAACCCUGUAAGUACUGGUAUUAACCAUGAUAUCUGACUGUUGUUAACCCUGUAAGUACUGGUAUUAACCAUGAUAUCUGACUGUUGUUAACCCUGUAGGUACUGGUAUUAACCAUGAUAUCUGACUGUUGUUAACCCUGUAAGUACUGGUAUUAACCAUGAUAUCUGACUGUUGUUAACCCUGUAGAUACUGGUAUUAACCAUGAUAUCUGACUGUUGUUAACCCUGUAAGUACUGGUAUUAACCAUGAUAUCUGACUGUUGUUAACCCUGUAAGUACUGGUAUUAACCAUGAUAUCUGACUGUUGUUAACCCUGUAGGUACUGGUAUUAACCAUGAUAUCUGACUGUUGUUAACCCUGUAGGUACUGGUAUUAACCAUGAUAUCUGACUGUUUUUAACCCUGUAGGUACUGGUAUUAACCAUGAUAUCUGACUGUUUUUAACCCUGUAGGUACUGGUAUUAACCAUGAUAUCUGACGACUGUUUUUAACCCUGUAGGUACUGGUCUCCACAUCAGCCGGAUAAUGGUGGCAGCAAACCAGAAUAUGGUGAGGAGGACUGUGUUCAGAUACAUAAAGAACAGAGUUCUCGAAAGUCAUGGAAUGACAUAUCAUGUCGCAGGAAACUCAACUGGGUUUGUGAGAAAGUGCUUUAACAUCACAAUGACAACAUACUGUAACACAUACAGUGCACACAACUUUCUCCUUCAUUCUCUCUCUCACACACACACCGUCACACACCCUCAUUCACACACACACACACACACACACACACACACACACACACACACACACACACACACACACACACACACACACACACACACACACACACACACACACACACACACACACACACACACACACACACACACACACACACACACACACACACACACACACACCUAUUGUUGUAUUUGUUUGUAGUAUCAUAUUAAUAAAAGUCCUACUUAUUUCCUGUUUGUAA